rnacentral:pre_miRNA from 1 species
UUGUGUGGUACUCUAUGCCAGAGAGUGGCAAUCAUUUGUAAUUAGAUGUGAUUGACACCUCUAUGUGUGGAAUAAUACGUGC